UUGGUAACAUCAACCUCUUUAGCGAAUAUUUGACGCACUAAAGACGUAAAUGUUACCUGCG
rnacentral:pre_miRNA from 1 species